GAUUUAAAUUUUAAAUAAACAGGUGAUUUAGGUAUAAAUAGUGCCCACUUCGAGUCUUCACUGCCAUAUUAUACUGCAACUUGGAAAAAGCCGCGACUAUGAUUUCUAAAUCUACACUCCUGACAUGCGUGAUGGUGCUGUGCGCUAUCCUGACGUACGCCUCUGCAUUACCCGAACCCGGACGAGUCCCACCUGUAGUAGCCGUAGCGUCACUUAUAAGGCAAAACGUAUAAGGCGAAAUACUUGGUUACAAAUUGUUUAUUUAAAAAUACAGUUUAAUAAUUCAUGCUAAAAGAAACAUAAUAUGUAGGUACCUGCAUUAAUUUAAAAAAAUAAAGUUACAAAAUACACAUUAAAAGUAAUAAUAUUAAUGGUUUUUUUAUUCAGUACCAAAUCCUUUUUACUAAAUUAUUAUCAACACUUAGAUAUAAAUAAGCUCAUCCCCAAAACACAUUACCACUCCUUUCCGUCGCGCAGUCGGGUAAAAAGUAAUUAUAGCAAAAGAUAUAACAUCACCCUGCAGCCAAUAGGGGCGGAGCAGUUGAGGAAAAAUGCAAAAACGGGAAAUAUUGUUCAAACUAUUUUCACGCGUACAAAGUCGCAGGCACAGCUAGUCUAACAUAUUAUCAUAAUGUUGAUCACUAAUCAAAUAUAUUAUCAUAAUGUUAAUGAUCAAAGUCAAAUAGUAAUAAAAGUUUUAAAAAACUGUUUCUUAUUCGAGAAAUAAUAACCAGUCUUGGAUUCAGGUGAUUUAGGUAUAAAUAGUGCCCACUUCGAGUCUUCACUGCCAUACUAUAUACUGCAACUUGGAAGAAGCCGCGACCAUGAUUUCUAAAUCUACACUCCUGACGUGCGUGAUGGUGCUGUGCGCCAUCCUGGCGUACGCCUCUGCAUCACCCGAAUUACCUCCACCCCGGACACUUAUAGGAGGGCAUACAGUAGGAUAAGGAGAACUAUAUUAUUACAAAUUAUGUAUUAAUAAAAAUACAGUUUAAAUAAUCAUGCUUAACGAAACAUCUGUACCUGCACCAUUUUCAGAAAUUAAAGUUUACAUAAUAUAAUUAACAGUAAUAGGUAUUAUAUGGUUUUCUUAUUCACUACCAAAUCCUUUUUAAAAACUAUCAUCAACACCUGGCACAUGUACCUAAAUAAGUUCAUCCCCAAAGACAUUACCACUCCUUUGCAUCGUGCAGUCGGGUAAAAAGUAUGCAAUUAACUAUAGCAAAAGAAAUAACAUCACCCUGCAGCCUAUAGACAGAUAGAAAGUAUUUAUUUCUCUCAAAACAGGUUUCAUUUUACAGUUUAUCAAUAAGAAAAAUGUUGCAAAAACGGGAAAUAUUAUUAAAACAGAUUAAAUCUAUUUCCACGCGUACAAAGACGCGGGCAUAGCUACUCUAACAUAAUAUUAUCAUAAUGUUAAUGAUCAAAGUCAAAUUUUAGUAAUAAAGUCUAAAAAAUAUGUUGUUAUUCGAGAACUAAAAAACCUGUCUUGGAUCCAGAUGAUUUAGGUAUAAAUAGUGUACACUUCGAGUCUUCACUGCCAUACUAUACUGCAACUUGGAAGAAGCCGCGAUUAUGAUUUCUAAAUCUACACUCCUGACGUGCGUGAUGGUGCUGUGCGCUAUCCUGGCGUACGCCUCUGCAUUACCAGAACCCGGACAAGUCCCACCUAAGGCUACGGAGACACUUCUAGGAGCCCAUAUAGUAGGAUAAGGCGAACUAUAUUAUUACAAAUUAUGUAUUAAUAAAAAUACAGUUUAAAUAAUCAUGCUUAACGUGCAUCAUUUUCAGAAAUUAAAGUUACAAAAUAUAAUUAACAGACAUAGGUA